UGGGCAAUCUUGCACAAUGGGCGGAAGCCUGAUGCAGCGACGCCGCGUGAGGGAUGACGGCCUUCGGGUUGUAAACCUCUUUCAGUAGGGACGAAGCGUAAGUGACGGUACCUGCAGAAGAAGCACCGGCUAACUACGUGCCAGCAGCCGCGGUAAUACGUAGGGUGCGAGCGUUGUCCGGAAUUACUGGGCGUAAAGAGCUCGUAGGCGGUUUGUCACGUCGUCUGUGAAAUCCUAGGGCUUAACCCUGGACGUGCAGGCGAUACGGGCUGACUUGAGUACUACAGGGGAGACUGGAAUUUCUGGUGUAGCGGUGGAAUGCACAGAUAUCAGGAAGAACACCGAUGGCGAAGGCAGGUCUCUGGGUAGUAACUGACGCUGAGGAGCGAAAGCAUGGGUAGCGAACAGG
rnacentral:rRNA from 1 species